AUGCCCAGGGACCCGCAUGUAGCGACUUCAGAUGCGGUAAGGCCAGCACGCUGUGCAUGGCUGCCGCCGGUGUCCCACUCAGCCAAGAUCAACGCAGACGGCAGGUUUUCCAAGAUCGGCGACAAGGGUGCCUCUGCUGCGGUGUGUCGCGAUAAAAACGGGAACUAUCUAGGGGCCUCAGCCAUCAUUUUUGAGGGCCUCUUGGACCCGGUGAUUCUCGAAGCACAGGCUUGUAGCGAGGCACUAGCACUCGCUACGGAUCUACAAGUUCAAUCCAUAUGUGUGGCCACAGACUGCCAAGAAGUUGUAUCAAGGAUCAAGGACGACUCCCCAUGCAAGUUUUACCCAAUUCUUCAAGAUAUCAAGCACCGCAGAUUAGCUUUUAGUGCGGUGGAGUUUAUCCACGAGAGUCGGAAGUAUAAUGGAGAGGCUCACGCUUUAGCUAAAGCUGCUGCAUCUCUCCCUCCCAGGUGCCAUGUGUGGCUUGUAACUUUGCCCGAAUCUGUAUUCCCAUGA
rnacentral:rRNA from 1 species